UGUGGCGCAGCCUGCAGGCGGACAAGGCGAUAGCGCUGGUGGCGCAGUCGGCGCAAGCCGGUCCCGCCCCGGCGCCGCUG
rnacentral:tRNA from 1 species